AUGGAGGGGACAGAAGGUGAAGGAGGUGUAGGAUACCAGCUUAAGCUGUGGUACACGGGGACAGUUACAAACAGAAAUGGCGUAGGCAUCUUGAUCAACAAGAGCCUCAAGUAUGGAGUGGUAGACGUCAAGAGAUGUGGGGACAUGAUUAUCCUGGUCAAGCUGUUAGCUGGGGACUUAGUUCUCAAUGUUAUUAGCGCAUAUGCCCUGCAAGUAGGCCACAAUGAGAACACCAAGAGGGAGUUCUGGGAAGGCCUGGAAGACAUGGUCAGGAGUGUACCGAUUGGCGAGAAGCUCUUCAUAGGAGACCCUCAAUGUCCACGUGGGUACAUCUAA
rnacentral:rRNA from 1 species